CCUACGGGAGGCAGCAGUGAGGAAUAUUGGUCAAUGGGCGUAAGCCUGAACCAGCCAAGUCGCGUGAGGGAUGAAGGCCCUACGGAUUGUAAACCUCUUUUAUAAGGGAAUAAAGUGCGGGACGUGUCCCGUUUUGUAUGUACCUUAUGAAUAAGGAUCGGCUAACUCCGUGCCAGCAGCCGCGGUAAUACGGAGGAUCCGAGCGUUAUCCGGAUUUAUUGGGUUUAAAGGGUGCGUAGGUGGGCUUUUAAGUCAGCGGUGAAAGUCUGCGGCUCAACCGUAGAAUUGCAGUUGAAACUGGAAGGCUUGAGUAUGUGUGAGGCAGGCGGAAUGCGUGGUGUAGCGGUGAAAUGCUUAGAUAUCACGAAGAACCCCGAUUGCGAAGGCAGCCUGCGAAGCUGUGACUGACGCUGAUGCACGAAAGCGUGGGGAUCAAACAGGAUUAGAUACCCUAGUAGUC
rnacentral:rRNA from 1 species